CGUUUGAGCAUUUCCCCGAACCCGAGCCUUCUCCCCUCUCUGCCCCGAUCCCCUCUGCUCACGCUGCCUCUCUCUCGCGGACGAAUCGGAGGCGACGGGAGCGGAGCUUCUCCUUUGGCGAUCAUCCUCGUUCGUCGGAGCUUGCUGGAGCACGGCGGAGCCUAGAUCUUCUUCGGCCGAGGGGUCUCUGCUCCGGUGGUGCUUGCGGCCGAACGACAACCCCUUGGUGGCUAGGGCGCGGUGAGGAACAAGGUCCAUGUCAUCUCCCAACCUACCGACUCCCUCGUUCAUCUUCCUCUAGUUAUUUACGGAGCGAUCCACGUCUUCUCUAGCCGGAUCGGACAGUGAUGCCAUCGGGAGGUGAUCUAGAGAGAUUGGGUUUUCUCUUCUUGCGGAUGAUUGGGGAAUUCAGUUGAAGAGGUUGAGAUCAGUGAGGUGUUCUUGCGUUGUCGGGCAGAGGCUAGCAGGAUUGUUGUUGGAUCAGUCCUCUUCUUGCUUGACCUCCUGUUGUGAUCCGACUGAAUUCCAGCAAGGUGAUGUUCUGUGGAUUGAUUGGUUCCAGCAUCAAUAGUAGUUUGGUAUGUUCAGUGGUGUAUUCUUGUUUCGGCAGGAUCUCCUUCCAACAGUUGAGAAUCAAGGUAAGGUGUUGUAUGCUGUGAUGCUGGAACUGUGAUCGUAAGGUGAUUUCCAGCAGCAUCACCUGUGGCUUUCGAUUAGUGAGGACUUUGAUUCGAGACGAGCAUCUCGAUAUUGGAUUAGGACUGGAUUGCACCUUCU